GGCUCGUCUCAUUAGGAUUGAAGAUCGAAUGCAAAGGAUGGAGCACUUGUUGGACCUGCUGGUGGACCAUUUUCUGCCCCAGCACCGUGACAGAUAGCGAUUUGCCCAGUGAUUUGCCCAGUACUUACCCAAGUCACUGGUCAAAUCACUCACAGGCCAGGGAGUCCCUUUCCCUUUUCUCCUUCAUUUUUCUAUAUGUUUAUUCACACAUUGGGGACAAUAUGUGGGAAAGGUGUGGGGGUACUAGAGAGUAUUUAUUCACUGAUCACACCACCUUUUUACCUUUUUGAUUUCUUUUUGUUUCUUUUUGUUUCCUUUUG
rnacentral:lncRNA from 1 species